GGUACGGAUGAGACCGGCUUCCACAGCACUGCAAACCCGGAAGGACUCGGGCUCCUGGGGCCUGUCCAGCGGAACCCAAAAGAGGAAUACACACACAAGGGGCUGUGAAAAUUGAAGAGACGUUGUCAAAAUGGCAAGGAGUGCAAGACUUGCAGCAUCUCAGACCAGGUGCCGUGCACGCUGAACCUGUGAUCUCCAGAUAGAGCCCUGCUCUCUCCCACAUCUGAGUCUCUACAUAUGCUCUUCCCUGUAACUAGAAUGUGAGCUUUCUUCUUUGUUAACUCUCAGUUUGAGAUUAAGGUCUGUUCUAUAAAUCACUAACCCUUACCACGAAAUUUUGGGUUAUUUGGCCUUUGUGCACUCAGAUAACUACGUAUUCACCCUUUUGUAGCACUUGAAGUGGAUAUAUACAUAUAUAUGUUUACUUACUUUUUCUGCCACUAGAAUAUCAGUUUGUCUAGAACAGAGUUUGUAUUAUUAACCUCAGGCAUCCUCAAGCCCUAACUCAGUGCCUAUAAUUGGAUACACUUUGGGAAGUAAAAAAGGGAGGGAAAGCUUGUGUGAAAAGUAGAAAGAGAGAAAGAGAGAGAGAGGAGGAAUACAGGAAGAGAGGGAGGGAUUAAUCCUGGCAUUCAGUUCCAUUUGACCUGUUUCUUCACUCAACCCAUUUUCAGUUCACAUUUGACUAUUUUCCAUUAACUUGUAUGGUACAUUUUAUUAUUGCUCUCAAGCACGUGCUGCCCAUCCUUAUAGGAAGAUUUUAGUCCCUACACCAUUGGCAGCAGAUUUAGCCAUAUGACAAGUCUUGCCCAUUGAAAUGUGAGUGGAAGUGAUGUGCCACUUUAGAACAGAAGCUUUAAAACUAUUGUGUGGUUCAUCCAUAUUUCCUUGUUUUUACUACAAGACCAACAAUGUCCCAGAUUAGGAUUGAUUACUUUUUCUGGAGCCCGAAAAGAAGAUGAUGUGGAGCAGAGCUACAGUUGAUCUGCAGUGAAGCUGACCUCCAUGCAGAUAGAGAAAUAAACCUUUGUUAUUGUAAGCCACAGAUUGCACAAUAACUUAGCCUAAGCUGAAUUACAGGUACAGCUGGUGACAUUGCCAUGGGUAUUCAAUACAAGAAGUGUCAUAAAAUUUGAGAACUUAACAGUUAAAGAAGGUCGUCUUAUUAGCCUCGCAUCCAAUAGAACAAUCUUCUGCCCAGUUCCCUGGGCCUUUUAAAUUCUGCUCAAAUUCCUUUGAUAUCAGGGAAGGAAGUUGAUCAGAUUGUAGUUCAGUUCAUUUCAUUACUGGAAUUCAACUUGUUCAAAUAUUCCAGUUGGUUUUCCCCAACUGGUUCUAGUUCUGCUACCUGGAGCCACCCAGAACAAUUCACUCUGUAUUCCAUUGCACAGAACUUCUUCAGUUUUUAGAAGUUUAGUCAUGUCCAAACUAAACGUUUCCUGUCCUUAUUUUGUUAAAGGACUUAGAAGAUGAGACUGAAGCUCUUCUGACUCUUUAGGAUGAAUAAAAAUGUUCUUUCUAGUUCAAGUGUCCUCUGAUUCCUUGUAUAUUCCACAAAUGGAAAGAGUCCUUUACAAAUAAAUUUUCCUCAGAUUUACAAUUUUAAAAUUCACAGAAACAUGCAAUCAAUUAGCUUGACUUUUAGCAAAAUAAAUUACAAAUAUUUUACCAAUGUGCUUUCAAAAAAGCCUUUUUUAAAUGCACAUGAUUUGGUUAACAUGUCUUAAACUAAGGCACAUUUUAAAUGCUUCCAGUCAAGAGGAAUACAGCCCUAUGUAGAUAUCACUGCAUUCUUAGGAAACCCAUAAUGACUUUAUUCUAAUGAGCUUUUCACUGAGUUAUGCAUUGUGUUGCUUUUGAAUACCCAAAGAGGCAAUUGUUAGAAAAAACAGACUGAUCAACUCCAGAAGGUAGAAGAAAGCCAUGGUCAAGUAACAGCAAAAAAGAAAUUUACCUUUGAAUAAACAGCUUCCUUUCUCUCAUUGAUCCUUUCUAUUUAAUUACAAAAGUAAAUCAUGGAUGUAUACUUAUCACGACAAAUUCAAACACUGUUGAACUCUACCAAGUACACUGUCCAAUAAAGCUUUCUGUGAUGAUGGAAUGUUCUGUAUCUGCACAGUUCAGUACAGUGGCCAUCAGCCACCUGUGGCUAUUGAGUGUAUUUGAAAUGGAACCACUGAAGCAGAGGACCCGAUUUUCAUUUUUAAUUAAUUUUAAUUAGCUUAAAUUGAAAUACCCAUAGGUGACUAGUGGCUACCAUAUUUUACAGCAUGAAUACAGAAUAAAAAGUAAAAUCACAUUGAUCUUCAAUGUCAAUAAGA